CCUGUGUCAACAGGCAUACGAUGGGUCCACUCUCACUGUUCUCCAACGUACAGUGUAAUCAGUAGUACUAGUACUGACAUUUUGAAUUCUCCAGUGCACCCCACUUGUCAUCUAAUGUACAUAUAAAUAAAUAAGAAAUGAAGUUGCAUUGUUUACAGAAAAUCAUGUAUACCCCAUUAUUAAUUUAGUCCCUUACACUUCCGCAUGUUUAAGAAAAAACUAAAUGGAAAAGGUAACUGCAAUAGUAGUUUUACAUUAGUCGUGACAUACUGGGGCAUCACAACUCAAAUGAUAUGAGAGCCACCUAUGGGUUAUGAGCCCACCACAUUUUCGCCACGCUACUCUGGUCAUGCGAGAUUUAAUCUGGAUAAAAACAGUAUCUGGAAAAUCGAGGUCUACGAACUUGUCCUCUUCUCACGUGAAGUCUAUUGGCACCCCAUAACGGACCAUCGGGGAGGUAGGUGGGAUCAAAAUUCUAUUGAUCUAAAAAGAUGAAGUCAACAAUCAAUGAGUCACAACCUAACAAGCAGAAGGUCCACCAGUCUAUACUAUGCAAAUCGAUCACCAUACUAACAAAGAAAGGCUCAACAGAGAGUUCAUUAAAUCGCAUGCACAUCAAAUUUUUCAAAAUAUAUGAUAGACCCAUAGGGGUAAUAACUUUUUCCAACGGAUAGCUAGUAGUUCAAUUCAAAAAUACCAAAUUCAUAAUCAAUAUAAAUUCAUGAUGCCAUCAUCAUUCGAGGGAAUCCCAUUACCUCUUGGGCAUCUUGCACCGAUCCGGCAUCGCAAGGGCAUCUAGAAGAACCACAUUACACCCCGCGCAUUUGGGGGAACUCAGUUGCCCCUUUAGGCAUUUCUACCAUAACCUAGGGCAUCGUUGUCCCAAGGACUAACGGCAUUUUCAGUCACACAUUCACACCAUAACGUAGCAAUUAUGUAAUACAAUUGAAAGUACAUUAACGUUACUACUAUUCAAGAACUCAAGCAUACAUCUAAUGAAUCAUCAAUCGUUUUCAUCCCCAAGACUAAUAUAAACCCAUCCAUACAGAGUUAAGUGAACGGUAAAGAAGAUCCUACAUCCUAGGCCUAAACUAGCCUUAUAGGGCGUCCCGCGCGCCUUUAGAUACAAUGGUUAUUGUCUACGUAAAUUCUUUUGAAAAAUUAUGAAACUUUAAUAUGAGAUAGACAAGACCUUGAGGGACAUUUUUUGCAAGGACUCAAAGUUCAAUUCAGCUCAUACAGUUCUAAAUAAUUUUUGCAAUCCGAGCCCAAAACAGUCAAAAUUUCCUAACAAAAUUGAGUAGGAAAAUAAAUAUUUCGUCCACCAAAUGAUACCUAAAAAUUAUGAAAAUUUAAUAUGUAGUAGCCUAGGAUGUACUCUACAACUUUCAUGAAGGAAACAUGUUAGAAUCUGGACCUAAAAAUCUAUAGGAAAUAGAAAACGAGGAGAGGUCGGUGCAGUAAGUCCUAAAACAGAUUUUGAAUCCCAAAGUUUUCAAAUAUAUUUUUGCCGUAUGACAGUCCAAAAAUUAUGAAAUUAAAUUAUAUCGUAGAAUAGCCAAUAAGGGUUGACUUUUAUGAAGAAUGCACCAUUAAAUUUGCACCACAUGAGUCGGUACAAAAUUAGCAAAAUUCGCAGUCGGGCUAGAACCUGUGCCCUCAGUCGUCCCAGCACGGAUUUAAUUCAGAAUUUCGACUAGCUCAGCCCCUGCAUGUGCUAAAUAUCAACCGACCAUGCUCCUACGACCCAACCACAAGUUUGGCCAUUUUGAACUCGAUGAUGUAUCGAGGUAACGUGAUCGAAACUUCUGUCUAAACGAAAAUCUAAACGACGUUCAUGAAUUUUCUAGGAAACUAUUUACGUCGACAAACGAUCGAUAUAGGAUAGAACGGAUCUACUUACCUCGGAUCCUUGUGUAUGGCGGUCGUGACUCGGCAGGACAGAGGUGAGGCUGACGGCAGCGGCGUGCGUGGCUGCGAUGGCGAGGGACGGUUUUCGCUGCUUCUGCGGUUGUGUUGCCGAGUGAGGUAAGGGACGGCUGAGUUUUGAGGAUGAAAGUGGAAGUACGAGUGGUGUCUCUUU
rnacentral:lncRNA from 1 species